GACUCUCGGCAACGGAUAUCUCGGCUCUCGCAUCGAUGAAGAACGUAGCGAAAUGCGAUACUUGGUGUGAAUUGCAGAAUCCCGUGAACCAUCGAGUCUUGAACGCAAGUUGCGCCCCAAGCCUUCUGGCUGAGGGCACGUCUGCCUGGGUGUCA
rnacentral:rRNA from 1 species